UAAGGGGACUAUACUGGUGUUGCUCCACCUGAUCCCAUUCCGAACUCAGAAGUGAAAUACACCAAGGCCGAUGAUAGUGGGUUUUCCCGCGAAAGUAGGUAGUCCUCCUAC
rnacentral:rRNA from 1 species